rnacentral:rRNA from 1 species
GACGAACGCUGGCGGCGUGCUUAACACAUGCAAGUCGAGCGAUGAAUUUUCUUCGGAAAUGGAUUAGCGGCGAACGGGUGAGGAACACGUGAAGAAUCUGCCCUCCACUUUGGGAUAACACAGGGAAACCUGUGCUAAUACCGAACAUUGAAACAUAAGUGGCAUCACUGAGUUUUGAAAGAAUUUCGGUGGAGGAUGACUUCGCGGCCUAUCAGCUAGUUGGUGAGGUAAUGGCUCACCAAGGCAACGACGGGUAGCCGGGCUGAGAGGGCGACCGGCACACUGGGACUGAGACACGGCCCAGACUCCUACGGGAGGCAGCAGUGGGGAAUAUUGGGCAAUGGAGGAAACUCUGACCCAGCGACGCCGCGUGCGGGAUGAAGGCCUUCGGGUUGUAAACCGCUUUCAGUAGGGAAGAAGCGAAAGUGACGGUACCUACAAAAGAAGCACCGGCUAACUAUGUGCCAGCAGCCGCCGUAA